rnacentral:rRNA from 1 species
UACGGAGGGUGCAAGCGUUAGUCGGAAUUACUGGGCGUAAAGCGCACGUAGGCGGUUUGGUAAGUCGGAUGUGAAAUCCCCGGGCUUAACCCGGGAAUGGCAUUCGAUACUGCCUGACUGGAGUAUGGUAGAGGGAAGUGGAAUUCCGGGUGUAGCGGUGAAAUGCGUAGAUAUCCGGAGGAACAUCAGUGGCGAAGGCGGCUUCCUGGACCAAUACUGACGCUGAGGUGCGAAAGCGUGGGGAGCAAACAGG